ensembl:lncRNA novel transcript
UUUGUUAAGUAAACUGGCUCACACAAUUGUGGAGGCUGGAAAGUCCCAAGACAGGCUUUCUGCAAGUUGGAGACCCUGGGAUGCUGAUAGCGUGGCUCCAGCCAAGUCUGAAGGCCUCAGAACCUGGGAAGCCAGUGGUGUAACUCUCAGUCUGAGGCUGAAGGCCUGAAAACCCAGGAAGCCACUGGUGGCCCCAGCAGAUUGGAUGGUGCUUACCCACACCGAGGGUGGAUCUUCCUCCACUACUCCACUCAGAUGCCGUCUAAAAUUAACCAUCACAUUUGUUUAGGCUUAUUGCAAAUGUAGGGAACAGUGACAGAUGAAACCAGAGGUAGCACUGUAGUUAGGCACUUUUGUACACAAGUAAACAGACAUGCCCAGGUUA